GACGAACGCUGGCGGCGUGCUUAACACAUGCAAGUCGAACGAAGUGGCGAACGGGUGAGUAACGCGUAAUCAACCUGCCCUUCAGAGGGGGACACCAGUUGGAAACGACUGCUAAUACCGCAUACUGAAGGAGGGGAUUGCGUCUGAUUAGCUAGUUGGCGGGGUAACGGCCCACCAAGCCGACGAUCUCUAGCUGGUCUGAGAGGAUGAACGGCCACAUUUGGACUGAGAAACGGCCCAGACUCCUACGGGAGGCAGCAGUGGGGAAGCUUCCGAAAGGGACGAAAGGCUGACGGAGCAACUCCGGCGGAGUGAUGACGGCCUUCGGGUUGUAAAGCUCUGUUAAUCGGGACGCGGUACCGGAAUAGAAAGCCACGGCUAACUACGUGCCAGCCGCCGCGGUAAUAC
rnacentral:rRNA from 1 species